rnacentral:rRNA from 1 species
UACGUAGGGUGCAAGCGUUGUCCGGAAUUAUUGGGCGUAAAGAGCUUGUAGGCGGUUUGUCGCGUCUGCUGUGAAAUGCCGGGGCUCAACCCCGGGACUGCGUCCGAUACUUCCGAGCUGGAGGUAGGUAGGGGAGAUCGGAAUUCCUGGUGUAGCGGUGAAAUGCGCAGAUAUCAGGAGGAACACCGGUGGCGAAGGCGGAUCUCUGGGCCUUACCUGACGCUGAGGCGCGAAAGCUAGGGGAGCGAACAGG